rnacentral:lncRNA from 1 species
UAAUAAAUAUUAUUUUCUAAAUAUAUAAUUUAAGUUAAUCACAAAAACAAUUAAUAUAGCACAGUGUAGCAUCAAACGUUGUACAACAUUAUUAUAAUAAAGUGUUAAUGCAAUACAAUAUAAUAUAAUACAUUGUGCCAAACGCAUCGUAAUGGUAUUACUAAUAUUCACUUCAUUGGAUUUAUGUUUGCUGUGGUUAGUGUUAAGAAAAAUUAUUCCACAGCUGAAAAUUAAGAAUAGUUUUUGAGUAGGACUAUUAACUUAAGGCAAUUCUCAAUUCAAUUAUGAGUUAAUUUUUUAAUAUGAGUUAGGAUUUUUAUAGUAUAAGAAUUAAUUAGUACUCCUAUACAAGUAGGAGAUCGACCUCCUCCACAUCACAAGACUGAUUAAAAAAAAAUCACAUUAAUUAAGAAUAAUAAAUAAGCUAAGAAUAGCAAUAACCUUCAAAUCUUAGCUUUUGAGUAGGAAUGACCUAGUUUUUUUUAGUAAGAAUUAUGUUAUAUUGACUUCUUUUCAUUGGCGGUAGAUGGCGCGGGUAGACGGCGCCGGUAGGUACGGACGAUGGAUAUCAGCAACUUACUAUUGCUGGUGGUGCCUAAUAUGGUUGCUGGUUAGCUUUUUAAUGAUUAUAAAUAAAUUAAAUAAGAUUUGAAAAAAAAUUAAGUUGUUAUGCGGGAGAUGGAUUCCCACGUGUCGAGCAUAUGGAACUGGAAGCACAACAUGGAUCUCCAUGUGUCACGAUCAAGCAUAUAUCUACACAAGAUUGAUCUCCAUUAAUCAUGCGUUUACUAGAAUUUAGAUCUUCUUAAGGCACAUGAGCGAUAACAUGCUAAGACCAUUGAAUUGCCAACAAUAUAAGUCGCAUAGGUUUCUUGACAUAUGAAUUAAUAAGAAGGGUGGGAUAUUUACAUUUUGCUAUUCGUAUAAGCUCGCCACUUUUGAAAAGUACUUAGAGCAAGUUCAUGUAAAUUUUAAUAAAUAUAAAUUGAUAAAAAUAUUUUUACAAUUAAUCAAUUAAGUCCUUUUUAUAAUUUUGUUUUCAUUUAAAUUUCUUUAACCAUCUUUGACUAUUAUAGUUGCUUUAACAUAAGUUUUACUUUACUAUUUUAUCCUUAUGACAUAUAAUGAUCCAAUUUUCAUAAUAAAUAUGUGUUCUUGCAUCAAUAGCUUAUCUAUUUAAUUUUUUCAUCAAUUAUCUAAUUUUUUAAAAUGAAAUCUGAUAAUUUUCAAUACCUUACAUAUAAGUUACAUAAAUUUAACAGCCCGAUAAUUUAAAUAAUUAUUGUACCAUAAAGACAUUGUGUUAAUUAGUUUAAUUAAAAAUUCAUAAUCAUACUCAUAAGUAGAAUUGGCACAUC